UACAGAGGUCUCAAGCGUUGUUCGGAUUCAUUGGGCGUAAAGGGUGUGUAGGUGGCGCUGUAAGUCGGGUGUGAAAUUUCGGAGCUUAACUCCGAAACUGCAUUCGAUACUGCGGUGCUUGAGGACUGGAGAGGAGACUGGAAUUCUCGGUGUAGCGGUGAAAUGCGUAGAUAUCGAGAGGAACACCUGCGGCGAAGGCGGGUUGCUGGGCUGACACUGACGCUGAGGCGCGAAAGCCAGGGGAGCGAACGGG
rnacentral:rRNA from 1 species